AGGACGAACGCUGGCGGCGUGCUUAACACAUGCAAGUCGAGCGGAAAGGCCCUUCGGGGUACUCGAGCGGCGAACGGGUGAGUAACACGUGAGUAAUCUGCCCCUAGCUCUGGGAUAGCUCCGGGAAACCGGGAUUAAUACCGGAUACGACCACUUUAGACAUCUGUUGUGGUGGAAAGAAUUUUGGCUAGGGAUGAGCUCGCGGCCUAUCAGCUUGUUGGUGGGGUAAUGGCCUACCAAGGCGACGACGGGUAGCCGGCCUGAGAGGGCGACCGGCCACACUGGGACUGAGACACGGCCCAGACUCCUACGGGAGGCAGCAGUGGGGAAUAUUGCGCAAUGGGCGAAAGCCUGACGCAGCGACGCCGCGUGGGGGAUGAAGGCCUUCGGGUUGUAAACCCUUUCAGCAGGGACGAAGCGAAAGUGACGGUACCUGCAGAAGAAGCGCCGGCUAACUACGUGCCAGCAGCCGC
rnacentral:rRNA from 1 species